rnacentral:rRNA from 1 species
AUUGAACGCUGGCGGCAGGCCUAACACAUGCAAGUCGAACGAGUGGCGGACGGGUGAGUAAUGUCUGGGAAACUGCCCGAUGGAGGGGGAUAACUACUGGAAACGGUAGCUAAUACCGCAUACCAGCGGAUGUGCCCAGAUGGGAUUAGCUAGUAGGUGGGGUAACGGAUCACCUAGGCCACGAUCCCUAGCUGGUCUGAGAGGAUGACCAGCCACCCUGGAACUGAGAAAAGGUCCAGACUCCUACGGGAGGCAGCAGUGGGGAAUAUUGCACAAUGGGCGCAAGCCUGAUGCAGCCAUGCCGCGUGUAUGAAGAAGGCCUUCGGGUUUUAAAGUACGUUCAGCGGGGAGGCGUUACCCGCAGAAGAAGCCCCGGCUAACUCCGUGCCAGCAGCCGCGGUAAUUC